UACGUAGGGGGCGAGCGUUGUCCGGAAUCAUUGGGCGUAAAGCGCGUGUAGGCGGUCCGGUAAGUCCGCUGUGAAAGUCGGGGGCUCAACCCUCGGAUGCCGGUGGAUACUGUCGGGCUUGAGUACGGAAGAGGCGAGUGGAAUUCCUGGUGUAGCGGUGAAAUGCGCAGAUAUCAGGAGGAACACCAAUUGCGAAGGCAGCUCGCUGGGACGGUACUGACGCUGAGACGCGAAAGCGUGGGGAGCAAACAGG
rnacentral:rRNA from 1 species